rnacentral:rRNA from 1 species
GACGAACGCUGGCGGCGUGCUUAACACAUGCAAGUCGAACGGAAAGGCCCUGCUUUUGUGGGGUGCUCGAGUGGCGAACGGGUGAGUAACACGUGAGUAACCUGCCCUUGACUUUGGGAUAACUUCAGGAAACUGGGGCUAAUACCGGAUAGGAGCUCCUGCUGCAUGGUGGGGGUUGGAAAGUUUCGGCGGUUGGGGAUGGACUCGCGGCUUAUCAGCUUGUUGGUGGGGUAGUGGCUUACCAAGGCUUUGACGGGUAGCCGGCCUGAGAGGGUGACCGGCGACAUUGGGACUGAGAGACGGCGCAGACUCCUACGGGAGGCAGCAGUGGGGAAUAUUGCACAAUGGGCGGGAGCCUGAUGCAGCGACGCCGCGUGCGGGAUGACGGCCUUCGGGUUGUAAACCGCUUUCGCCUGUGACGAAGCGUGAGUGACGGUAAUGGGUAAAGAAGCACCGGCUAACUACGUG